rnacentral:rRNA from 1 species
AUUGAACGCUGGCGGCAUGCCUUACACAUGCAAGUCGAACGGCAGCACGGGUGCUUGCACCUGGUGGCGAGUGGCGAACGGGUGAGUAAUACAUCGGAACAUGUCCUGUAGUGGGGGAUAGCCCGGCGAAAGCCGGAUUAAUACCGCAUACGAUCUACGGAUGACAGCGGGGGACCUUCGGGCCUCGCGCUAUAGGGUUGGCCGAUGGCUGAUUAGCUAGUUGGUGGGGUAAAGGCCUACCAAGGCGACGAUCAGUAGCUGGUCUGAGAGGACGACCAGCCACACUGGGACUGAGACACGGCCCAGACUCCGACGGGAGGCAGCAGUGGGGAAUUUUGGACAAUGGGCGAAAGCCUGAUCCAGCAAUGCCGCGUGUGUGAAGAAGGCCUUCGGGUUGUAAAGCACUUUUGUCCGGAAAGAAAUCCUUGGCCCUAAUACGGUCGGGGGAUGACGGUACCGGAAGAAUAAGCACCGGCUAACUACGU